rnacentral:lncRNA from 1 species
AUUCUCAGUGAGUCACUUACCAUUUGGAUUCUCUCAAUUGACCUAUUUUCCCUGAGCCUCUUGAGCCAUUCAGAGUUCAUUUUUAUGUGUCCUUUUAGCUGUGAGAAACAAGACCAGAGCCCUCCUUCUCUUUGUUUCGCCUGUAUCUUCUUGGCUCAUUAUCUUGCAGAGCAGACAGGCUUUCUCUGGGUGACUGAAAACAAGGCCGCCACCCUCUCCAACUUCAGAUUCUUCCUGAUCCAUCCCCCAGGCACAAGGCCCUCCUCCAACUCCAGCUGAAAAAAAUCCCAGGGAAGGACUUUGAUUGGCCUUGUUUGAGUCACAUGUUUCCCUCACCAAGGGGUUAGUCUUGUGAUGACCACACAGUCCUUCACCAUGUGUCUGGAGUUAGGGCAGAAGAAGGUGCAGCGCCCCCAGAACACGGGUGGGCAGUGCUGGAGCGGAAAUUUCUGUUGGACGGCACCGAUGUGGACACUCCACAGAAGCCAAACACACAGCAGAAUGAGCCAAGAACACGCUGGUGAUGAGGGCAAGACACGUACAGAACAAGGAGGGAGCAGACGCCGGAGGGCAGGGUAACCA